GACGAACGCUGGCGGCGUGCUUAACACAUGCAAGUCGAACGGAAAGGCCCUGCUUUUGUGGGGUGCUCGAGUGGCGAACGGGUGAGUAACACGUGAGUAACCUGCCCUUGACUUUGGGAUAACUUCAGGAAACUGGGGCUAAUACCGGAUAGGAGCUCCUGCUGCAUGGUGGGGGUUGGAAAGUUUCGGCGGUUGGGGAUGGACUCGCGGCUUAUCAGCUUGUUGGUGGGGUAGUGGCUUACCAAGGCUUUGACGGGUAGCCGGCCUGAGAGGGUGACCGGCCACAUUGGGACUGAGAGACGGCCCAGACUCCUACGGGAGGCAGCAGUGGGGAAUAUUGCGCAAUGGGUGGAAGCCUGAUGCAGCAACGCCGCGUGCGGGAUGACGGCCUUCGGGUUGUAAACCGCUUUCGCCUGUGACGAAGCGAGAGUGACGGUAAUGGGUAAAGAAGCACCGGCUAACUACGUG
rnacentral:rRNA from 1 species